CUGCUCUGGCAGGCAGUGUUCUCCUCAGAGCUCAAGAAAACCAACCGUAUUAUACUCAGAUCUGGCAAAUUCUUCCUACAUGUUGUGGAUACACAUUUCACAGCACAGCUACUUUUCGUGCUCUGUUGUUUGCUUGUAUUUCAUGUUUUCCUUAAGCUGGAAAACAAAAGUGUGGCUCAGCUUGGAAGUGAAGAGCUGUCAGUUUGUAUAAACACUUUGAUAAUAAAAUGGAUUUGGUGGAGAUUACAAUUCAAUACCUGUAGGAAAAAAAACAGAGGCUCUUUAGCAAAUUGUCUAACACAGUGCACACUGAUGUUCUUCAGCACAUCCUUAGCCCUCCACAGGUCAGCCAAGUACACAGAACUAAUAUGGUGUAGGGCUUUGACCAAUGACCACUGCCACAUUUUGCCUGUAGUUAACAGAUACUUCCAGUUGCCUAAACUGAUUGAUUGUAAACUUUCAGCUGUUCUUCGUGACCCUGAAUAUCUCCCCCGUAAUCACUACUUGGCUGGAGCUCUCCAUACAGGACUCAUUGAUUGAGCAGCUGAACAGGCGAAUGCCCAACUGAGAGACAUACUGAGACUGAGAAAGAGAAAGGAAAACCAGAUGAUAGGAAUACUCAGAACUGCAGCCCCACGGAACACCUGUCGCUUUGAUAGCACUGCCAACAGGACGGAAUGACGAGCCAGCCAGCUAGCUGCAUACAUGAAGCAGAGGUUCACUGCAUCACAUAUCCGAUACGAAGCUCGAGAACGGCUGCACCUGACCAGCCCUGCCUCGGCGCCCGGACGGUCCCGCACCACCGCCUCUCCGCACGCCUAAAAAACGGGACCCUGCAUACAAACAGAACCGCCGGACGUAGAACAGAAAGAGCCUUUCAUCUCUUACCGAGGUAUCUCACCGUCGGUUCCACGGGAUCAGGAGGCUGGGACGGACGGGCGGGUCGCCUCCAACCCCGCUCUCCAUCAUCCGCAAGCAUUCCUCGCCCGCCCGCGUCCCGAUAACCCCCGGGGCGGCCGUACUCCCCAUUCCCAGCGCCG